rnacentral:rRNA from 1 species
GGAAUAAGGAGAGGGCAAGUCUGGUGUCAGCCGCCGCGGUAAUACCAGCUCUCCGAGUGGUAGGGAGGAUUAUUGGGCUUAAAGCGUCCGUAGCCGGCCUAACAAGUCUCUCGUCAAAUCCAACGAUCCAAUCGCUGGACCGCGGGAGAUACUGCCAGGCUAGGAGGCGGGAGAGGCCGACGGUACUCUCGGGGUAGGGGUGAAAUCCUAUAAUCCCGGGAGGACCACCAGUGGCGAAGGCUGUCGGCUAGAACGCGCUCGACGGUGAGGGACGAAAGCUGGGGGAGCGAACCGGAUUAGAUACCCGGGUAGUCCCAGCUGUAAACGAUGCAGGCUAGGUGUUGGCGCGGCUACGUGCCGCUCCAGUGCCGCAAGGAAGCCGUUAAGCCUGCCGCCUGGGAAGUACGGCCGCAAGGCUGAAACUUAAAGGAAUUGGCGGGGGAGCACCACAAGGGGUGAAGCUUGCGGUUUAAUUGGAGUCAACGCCGGAAAUCUCACCGGGGGCGACAGCAGAAUGAAGGCCAGAUUGAAGGUCUUGCUAGACAAGCUGAGAGGAGGUGCAUGGCCGUCGCCAGUUCGUGCCGUGAGGU